CGGUGGGAAACGAUACACCGGCCUAUUCGUUCCAGUCGGUUGUAGGCAUUAGACUAGAAGGGCUGAUUUCGUUGUUAGACUUGUCGAGGUCGAGGCCGAUGCUGAGGCGAAGACGGGGAUCGAGACGGAAGCCAAUGCCGGAUAUGGAGGGACAAUCUGCAGUCGGCCGAGUUCCUGUUUAAGCUGCCGGUUCUCCGGAGAUCUGAGUUGCUCUUCAAGCUGCUGAAGCCGGGCUUCUACAAGCUGUCACAACAAAUAAGACGGGUCACCCACUGUAAUUAUCAGUUUGGAUAUCUAUAUUCAAGUGCGUGUUCAUGUAAACGAUUACUGACUUGC